UAAUAAGGUACUUAUAGUUCCAAUGGU
rnacentral:sRNA from 1 species